rnacentral:tRNA from 1 species
UGGACGCUAAUUCAAUUGGCUUAGAAUAACCGGCUUUUACCCGGUAGGUUCCCGGUUCAAGUCCGGGGCGUCCAA